GCUCUCGUAGUUCAAUGGAUAGAACGGAGGUUUCCUAAACCUUAAAUCCAGGUCCGAUUCCUGGCGAGAGCA
rnacentral:tRNA from 1 species